GCCCACACCCACGCACGCAUGGAGUAGAGAGAGAAACCCUCCUUCCUCUCUCUAGAUAUCUCUCUCAUCUCUCUAAAUCUCUCUCUAAAAAUUGGAGAGUUGGUGGAGAAGAUGCUUGCGAACGCGUUGGAGGCGACGGAUCGAGCUUUCGUGCGCCCGUUGGAGCGGCGUGUUUUCGUCGCGGCGUUCACAUUGUGGUAAGCUUUUAGGAUUUGGUUUAAUCCUUAAUUUUAAGUGUUCUAAUAGCCUCUAAUGAGCAUUAUAAACAUAUUUGCUCUAUUUAAUUUGGAUUAUUUGGAGAUUAAUUCAUGUUAGGCUUAGAAAAUGGGGUUUUGUAAAAUAUGAGGGUUUGAUCUAAUUUGACACUCCGUAAACCAAAUUGCUAGGUAAACGAACGCGUUGGCGAAGACGGUUCGGCAAUCCGACGAGCCGUUACAAAGUUAUUAAAGAAAUGGACGUUUAGGCUUCGGGUCCGCCGGGAGGGCCGAGGCGAUAUCGUAAAUUCAUGAAAAUGGAUUUGAAGCAUCGUGGCACAUAACCGAAGACCUUUAAUUUUCGGAUCGUGAAUUGGAGGCCGUUCGGGUGGUCGCGUGAGAGAUCGGGCCAAACCGGGUGCCGGGUGCCGCGGGAGGCCGAUUGCAAGUGUCGACAAGCAAUCGGAAUGCGAAAUGAGGUGGGUUGUGCUUACCGAAGCGACUAGGUCGCCCUUUAUGUCUAAGAAAUGAGAUUUCAUAUUGAUGCAUAUUGACAUAAUAUAAGAAUGUGAAAAGAAUGCAUGUUAACAUACUAUAGAAAUGCUAGAUGAAUGCAUAUGAUUAAUGCUUUGAAUGCAUAAUAUAAAGGGCGUAUGAAUGUUAGCAUUAUAAGAACAUCAUAAAAGGAAUGUAUGAUGACAUGUUGUAGAAUAUGCUAAAUGUAAUGCAUAAUGAAUUAAGUGCUAAAAGAAUGCAUGAGAUGCUAAGUAUGGACUAUUUUGGAUAAUGACUAUAUGUAUGUUGACAAAUCAUGUGAUGCUAGUGGUAUAUGUGCAUGAUGAUAUAUUAUGAAUUUACAUAUUGUGGAUUAUGUUAAAUAGAAAAACAUACUUGAUGACAUAUUGCCAUGUUGUGGAACAUAGUGGACAAUCUAUAUAUAUAUUAGAUCGAGUGGCAUUAAACCUAGCAUCUUGAACCUAGCAAACACUUGUGGUGAUUGAUCAUAUAUAUUCUGGUGUCAUUCAUGUAUGUUAGGACCCUAUUAUUGUGUAAAUGUGAGAGUUGGACUUGAACAUUAGUAAACAAGGGUGACAAUGACAAUAGAGACAUGAUUGGCAUCAAGAAAGUGAUUGUUAAACAUAGUUUAACCAUAUUGACAUUGGUCCAAGUUGACAUAGAGAGUGGCAUGAUUAAAUAGGUAGAGACCUAUCAUGACAUUGGCAUUGUGACGAGUGGCUAUGAAUCCUCAAGUUGAGGAUUGGAUCGAUACUCACGUUACGUCUUGGCUUGAGGGAGGUAGCUCCCCCUCGGGCGGUGCGCUCCGGAGUUGGUCACCACUGGGCGUGGUAAAGUCCCACCAGUUGACGGUCCCUAGGGAGGUUCGAGUCCCCCGUUAUUAAGGGAUUUGGUUGUGAGUUAUUGGGGUUAACAUGGUUAACCGGUAAGAUUGGGUCAUAGCCAAAUGAGUGUACAACAAGUAUGCAUUAUGAGUUAUGGAUUUGGUAUCCUAGUCGAGAGGAUUUAGGGCUGAGGUGUAUGUGAGACGUCCAUCGCCUCGAGCCUGGUUCUAGUGCGGUACUCCGCAGACGAUUGACUCAAGACCGAGUCGGGUGGUUAGCCUUGUAAAGGUAGAUGAAACUUUAUGAUUAAAACGGUGAUUGACAAGAAUCUAAGAUAGAGGAAACCUUAGAUAUCGAAUGGAUGAGCUAUGGUUAGCAGAAUUGAAAGUAGUGUCAAAUGAACUACUAGUUGGUUGCAUAGUUGCAUUAUUGCAUGAUUUGCAUAUAGCAUUGCAUUAUUGCAUUCGUGAGGCAAUGCAUGGUUUUAUUCGUUGCAUAAUCAAGAUAUAUAUCUAUCUGUUUAUUGAACUAACUUGCAGUUGCCUCCCUUGGACCUAUUGGUCGAGCUUUUUCCUUGGGUGGCCGUACCCACUGGGAACCAUGGAGUUGG
rnacentral:lncRNA from 1 species